rnacentral:lncRNA from 1 species
AAUGGUAAGACCAAGUAUCGUUUUCCCAAGAGACUCGAAUGACUUUCUCGUUUGCGUGAAUUAAAAUAAUAAGACUUGAAAAUAAAAAUUAAUAAAUUGGAUUUGAGAACACAAAUAUUAACAUGCAAAAUAAAGUUGAUUCAAUUGACAAAAGAAAACAAUGGAUGAAUGGAUGUUGUUGGGGGUUUACAAUUUCAUCUAAUCCGCUCUCUCUUACCUACUCCUCUUGAAAAUUAGUUUGAUUAAUUAAUUGUUAUGCGACUUUCUUAGCCUCCCCUUAACCCGAUCCCUCGGCGAAAAGAGCCUAAUAUUAACUACUNGCUUGCUAUCCCUAGCCUCCCCUAGCAAUUAAUACCGCAUUAUAAACAGAAGUUAGCGCAAUUAAUCGUCCUACCCCUAUCUCUAGGUGGUAUUGCAAAAUCAAGAAAUUACUAACCAGUUCAUGUCAUUACUGUACGUCCCAUAUCAAUAAAGACAAACAUCAGUUACCGAAUGAGUUGAACGAUAAAGGCCU